UCAAAUUUCAAGUUUGAAACAUUCUGCUGCUUUCACAAUUUUCCUGCAGUAAGAAAAAGGGGCUUGUAAUUUUCCAAACUUACACCGUGUAUUUACUAAUGGAAAUUUAAAGGAAUAUGAAUAUAUUCAGUUCAUAAAGCCUUUUAACUCACUGGAUAAUUGAUUUACAAAGUUAAUAGCCAUAGAGCUAUUGUUUCAGACCUUCAAAUGUGGAUGUUUGAGUGAUGCGGUCACAGCAGGGUAAAAGAGGAAUCUAGAUGUACAUGCAAACAAUGAUUUUAAAAAAAUUUCAACUUGAACAAGUUGGCCUAAAUCUAACAACCAGAUAUCAUUCUACACAAUGUGAACAAACAUCCGUACAAGAAAACAACUGAGCUUUAAAAAUAUUUCGUGAUGUCUCCACAACAGUUACAACACAACUCUCAAAAAUAAUUGUGGACUGUUCGUUUUAAAGAUGAUUUAAAAUUAGUACAAUCUCAUCCAAUACAAUGUACAAGUGAACCGCAGUAUUUUCACCACAAACCAAAUCAUGUUUUGCAGAUUGCUUUCAUUAACAUGUCUUUGAUGAAAUAAAACAUCACAUGCUAUCUGUUAAAAUUAAUAUUCAUGGAUGCCUCCUGGCUAUGAAUAUCUGUGGUAAUGAGACAUUGUGCUGAAGACAUAGCAAGCUCACCUUCCAUCCUGGUUUCAAACAACUAAAAUAACCACUCUAUUGAUACAAAAAUAUACAAGGUAUAUUUGUGGAAGGUCACCAUAUAAUACCACAAACUUUAGAUGAAACCUUGAUUAUUUGACACCAUUGUCUACAAAACCAAGAGAGAUACUAAGCACUCGGUGUUCAGAAUUAAUUGCAGUAAGAAUACAUUUCUCAAAUUUUCUGCUGUCAACAACUGAAAAGUUUCAAGUGGAUUUACAAAGCAACGUCACGACAGAGGUAGAAGGUAAAUGGCUCUCAUGAGAUGAACAACUUUGUUUGAAAACUAUCGCAUGAACAAAGUUGUCCAAUUGAGUACAUCAAGGGAAAAAACAACCAAAUAUACUUGAAUAUGGAUAUGAAAGGGCAUAUUCUUUACCCUGAUCCUUAAUACACAAAUUACAGCUGAUAGAGUGGGAAAAUGUGGAGAACUGAAUACUGGUCGUAUCUGCAGGCUUUUAUCAAGAAACACAGUACUGUUAUAGAAUUUUAACAGACCUUUCUCUAAAUAACAACCUGUGCAACAAUCACUGCUUGUGGAGAAUAAAUCAAAAUAACUUGGCCUUGGGAUAUCAAACAAAUUAAAGCAAGGAGAUGACAGUGUGUAGAAACAGAUGCUUCUCAGAGGAGCUGACCGCGUGGAAUUGACUCGAUCCAUCUAAAACUGAUCAUUAAACAAUGACUACCUCUUGAUACCAAGAAGCUAAGAAAACUCAAUUCUGAGGUUAAGGAAAAAAAGGAUAACUAUCAUUGGUAGAGAAAUCUGUUUUGGUUUGCCUCGCCUUGCCUUGGAUUACUGUGCACAAACUCGAUCUUCAGUGUCACCUAGAAACAAUGUUCCCUGUCUUUGUUCAGUAAAGUUAGAUGUUAUAUGUUACUUAUUAACAACAACAGUUGUUUGCCUCACAGGGAAAUUAGCAGCUGAAGCACAAAUGGAUAAUCCUUUGAGGCUUUCGCUAUGGUUUCCUUCAAGGAAUAUUUGUGGAAAUGAAUGUCCCAUGUUCCUUAGACAAGAGUCUUGAGACUUCAAGUCAUAAAAACACUGCUUUGCUCAUACUUCCCAGUAAAUUUAAGAAAACAGAAACAAUACAGCUUAGUUUUCUGAUGUGUUCGAAAUUAUUAUAUUUGUAUCACUUUCUGUUCAGUUAACAUGAAACCAGGGUUUCGAUAACUUUUUUCAUAUGCAACUGCCUAUGGUAUAAUAUACUGCUGUGCCAUAAGGCAAAACCCAAUUACAAAAGCCAACUUGCAAGUAAAGAGACGGCGGAGAGAUCUUGUGGGUGGCGGCAUACCACAGAUAACCAGCUUUUAUUGAAAUCACUGUUGAUACCAUAAACACCAUUUUUUAUGCAUGAUUCUGCUAUGUAGAUACACAAUAUAAAAUGUAGUAAACCUUGAGGAAGCAAUACAUGUUAGCUGGCGAAUUUACCAGAUAAACAAGAGGAAAUAUCAAUUUCUUUCAAUUGUAAAAAUUUUUUAUGUUAUUAUGAUAUAAGUAUGGUUGAUAUCAAGCAAGAUACAUUGUGACAUCUUUAAUUUUAUUUGUCAUGCAGACAAAACUCUUUGCGUGCUGCUUGUGUGAAAACCUGGUGGAGAUUACAAAUCUUCUAAUUUCCCGCCUAUUAAAGGAGGCUUACACAGACAAGCGACUUUGUCUGAAAGAUAUGCAUAUUACUUAACUGUCUGAAAGUGCUGCCAUAAAACUUGAUGAUACUGUUAGGCAAAACCAAGAAGCUUUUCAUGAUGGAAGGGAAUAAUUUUUUCCUCUAUGAUGCAAAAAACACCCCAUGAUUCUGUCACAACAGGAUGUAACACUGUAAAAAUGAGAAUCUAGAUGCAUGUAGACUACUUCAACAAACCCACAUAAAUAAUUUCAAGCACACAGACUCCUGCGGUAAUUAAAACAAAACACUUUAAUAUAACUAAUGGGUCUAUUCAAGGGACUCCUACCAUAAAAAAUGGCAAUUUUUUGGAACACAAUAUUUUUGCAUUAGUACUUAACCAAGAAUGGAUACUUCAAAGCUAGCCAGGGUUCUGUGGAAGAUAUUAUUUGA